GGGGGAUUAGCUCAAGUGGUAGAGCGCUCGCUUCGCAUGCGAGAGGUAGUGGGAUCGAUGCCCACAUCCUCCA
rnacentral:tRNA from 1 species